rnacentral:rRNA from 1 species
AGCUAGAUGAGUUUAAUAUUUAGUGGUUUCUGCUCAAUGGUUUAACUAAAUAGCCGCAGUACCCUGACUGUGCAAAGGUAGCAUAAUCAUUUGGCUUAUAAUUGAAGUCUGGCAUGAAUGGAUUAAUGGGGAGCACCUGUCUACAAUAUUUUAAUAGAAUUUACUUAAUAAGUGAAAAUUCUUAUAGGUAAAUAAAAGACGAGAAGACCCUAGAAAUUUUAUUUAUCGUAGUAUUGUACUAUAUCAUUUUGUUGGGGCGACAGAAUAACACAUAACUUAUUUUAUUAAAUUAGCAUUAUAUAUUAUGAAAAAUUAAAUUACUCUAGGGAUAACAGCAUAAUUUAUAAAAGUUUGUGACCUCGAUGUUGGACUAGGGAUUUUAAUAUUCAAAAGGUAUUAAAAAUUUGCUCUGCUCGAGCAUUAACCCCUACAUGAUCUGU